rnacentral:RNase_P_RNA from 1 species
UCAGACGGCCGGAUGGCUGCUCUCGGCACCUGGGCUCGGCUCCGGCGCCGGGGGAGGAAAGUCCGGGCUCCACGGGAACACGGUGCCGGGUAACGCCCGGCGGGGGUGACCCUAGGGAAAGUGCCACAGAAAGCAAACCGCCGGCCGAAGCCCCCCCCGGGGCGAAGGCGGGUAAGGGUGAAAGGGUGCGGUAAGAGCGCACCGCGCCCCCGGCAACGGGGGCGGCACGGCAAACCCCACCGGGAGCAAGACCAAGUAGGGACGGCAGAUCGGUUUCGAUCGGGCGGGUUUCCGCGCCGCCGUCCGGGUAGGUCGCGCGAGGCGUCCGGCGACGGGCGUCCCAGAUGAAUGGCCAUCCAUCCGCGCGUUCGCGCGCGGGGGACAGAACCCGGCUUACAGGCCGUCUGACCGC